UACGUAGGGUGCGAGCGUUGUCCGGAAUUAUUGGGCGUAAAGGGCUCGUAGGCGGUUUGUCGCGUCUGCUGUGAAAUUUCGGGGCUCAACCCCGAACUUGCAGUGGGUACGGGCAGACUAGAGUGUGGUAGGGGAGACUGGAAUUCCUGGUGUAGCGGUGAAAUGCGCAGAUAUCAGGAGGAACACCGAUGGCGAAGGCAGGUCUCUGGGCCACUACUGACGCUAAGAAGCGAAAGCAUGGGGAGCGAACAGG
rnacentral:rRNA from 1 species